AGGGCUAUAGCUCAGCGGUAGAGCGCCUCGUUUAAUAACCGAGAAUGUCUACGGUUCGAAUCCGUAUAGCCCUA
rnacentral:tRNA from 1 species